rnacentral:lncRNA from 1 species
GGCUGGGGAGAUGUCCAAUGGGCUAAAGUAUUUGCCUCAGAAUUCUGAAGACCUCAAUUUAGGUCCCUAGAACCUGUGCAAAGCCAAGUGUGGUAAUGCAUGUCUCUAAUCCCAGACUGCCUAUGAGAGGUGAACACAAGAGAUUCCCCUGAAGGUCACAGACCGGCUGGUUGGUGUAUGCAAAAGAGAAAGAGAGACCCUGUUUGAAAAAGGCUGAAGGACUUUCUCCCCUACUGUGAUGACGAUCCCAGUAUUUACUGCCACCAGUAUUGAUCAAAGGUACCAGAUCUCCUGUCAAGAGACAUUGUACUGAAUGGAAGAACUUCUUGAUAUUCUCCUAAUAAAGGAUACAAAGUCUUCCCGGAUAACCUGGAUGGUGAAAACUGUUCCUUCAUGGAAUGUCACCAUGUGGCACAAUCAUACUUCACUUGAGCCAUAGAAAAUUCAAACACUCCCAAAACAACUAGUACACCAUGGAGAGAGAAAAUCUAAUGGCUUCAUGUUAUAGUUUGAAUUUGAAAUGCUCCCCACAGGUUCAUGUAUUUAAUUUGGUGAUACCAUUUGGGAAUACUGUGUGACAUGUAGGGGUCACACCUUGAUGGGAGAAGUGCAUCACGAGGGGCGGGCCUUGAGAAGCCUAGUCCACUUCCUGUUUACUCUACAUGUUUCACAACUAUGUAUGCCAUGUGACCAGCUGUCCUCUGGCUCCAGCUGCCACUCCCUCCAUGUUGUGAUGGAAAACAGUCCCUUGAACUAUAAAAGAGAAUAAACAGCCAAGUCCCAACUCACCAAAAUCUGUUAUCAGUAAUGACUUGCCCUAUAAAAAUUUCUGAAGGAAAACUGGAAGGUGUCAUGGAGUGCGGAACAAAGGCACAUGAAGAACUGAUGGCUUCCCAGGACUUCUGUCACGAUGGGGUGGCCUGGAACAAGAGAAAUAUAUUGCCACUCUGUUCUGGAGCCUGGAAGUCCUGAGUUGAAAUGUCAGCAGAGCCAUACUCCACAGAAGAUUCUAGUAACAAAUUCUUCUAGCCCCUGGCCUCCUCUACGCUGGUCUGUAGCCUCUGGGGUCCCAGGUUUGUAAUUAUGGAGCCUGGUUUCUGCCUCUGUCUCCAGGACACAUUGUGCGGGUAUCACUCCAUAGGGCAUUCUUUUCUUUAAAACUUAUAACUUUUAUUCAGGAU